rnacentral:tRNA from 1 species
GGGCAGGUGCCGGAGUGGUCAAUCGGAUCGGUCUGUAAAACCGACGCGCCUCAAGCGCUGCGAAGGUUCAAAUCCUUCCCUGCCCA